AGCUUUAUAGUCAAUAAUGAUAUUAGACUGCAAUUCUAAAGGAGUAAAAUUAAAAUUACUAAGGCUU
rnacentral:tRNA from 1 species